UACUCGAUUAAUAUGGACUAUUGU
rnacentral:siRNA from 1 species